GCUGGGGGAAGAAAAAACCAGCGGCCUCCCUUUUCUGGACCCAGCCUCUCCUUCCAGCCCCAGCUCACCACGGCCAUGCCAGAGAUCUGAGGGGGUUCUUCUCAGGGCAAGAGUCCUUAACCCCAUCUUACAAAUGUGCUCACCGCAGUCGGGAGAAGUUCAAGACACCCCUUCAAUCAAAGGCACCAGCCAGGUGGCGUGGGCAGGACUGGGUACUGGGUU
rnacentral:lncRNA from 1 species